GGGGGAAAAUUAAUAAAAUAAAUUAAUAAAAUAAAUUUUUAAGUUAAAAAUAAAUAAUGGGGGUUAAAGUAUUUUUAAUAGAAAAAAUUUAAAAUUUUAUAGGGUAAUAAGUAUUGUAAAAGAAAUUUGAAAUAAAUGAAAAUUAAUUAAUAAAAAAGAAAAUUUAAUUAAUUGUAUCUUGUGUAUCAGAGUUUAUUAAAUAAUUUUUUUAAAUAAAAAAGUCUCGAAUUUAAAAGAAUUAAUUAAUUAUAAAAGUUAAUGUAACAUAAUUAUUUUAAAUAAUUAAUUAGAAAUGAAAUGUUAAUCGUUUUUAAAUAUAUCUAGUUAUUUUAGAAAAAAAUUUAAUUUUAAAUUUAAAUAAUUUUUUAAUUUAAUAUUAAAAUUAAAAAAAUUUUAAAUUUAAUAUUUUAGGGGAUAAGCUUUAAAUUAAAAAAUUAUAAUAAUAAUAAUAAUAAAAUUAAGAUUUUUAAAAUUUAUAUUGUUUAAAAAUUAUAAUUUAUUAUAAAAAAUUUUAAUAAAAAUAAAAUUUAAUAGGAGAAAAUUUAAAUUUUUAUAAAAUAAUAAUUUUUAAUAAUAAAAAAUUAGUAAUAAUGAUAAAAUUAGUAUAAAAAUAAUAAUAAAAAUUAAAUAUCAAUUAAAAUUAAUUAAAAGGAAUUCGGCAAAAAAUAAUAUUCACUUGUUUAUCAAAAACAUGUCUUUUUGACUAUAAUUUAAAGUCUAAUCUGCCCACUGAUAAAUAUUAAAGGGCUGCAGUAUAUUGACUGUACAAAGGUAGCAUAAUCAUUAGUUUUUUAAUUGAAAACUUGUAUGAAGGAUUUGAUGAAAUAUAAACUGUCUCUUAAUUAUUAUUAAAAAUUUAUUUUUUAGUUAAAAAGCUAAAAUAAUCUUAAAAGACGAGAAGACCCUAUAGAGUUUUAUAUUUUAUAUAAUAUUAAAAUUAUAUAAAAAUUAAAAUUAAUAUUAAAUAAAAUAUUAUAUUGGGGUGAUAGAAAAAUUAAAAUAACUUUUUUUAAAAAUUAACCAUAAAUAAAUGAAUAAAUGAUCCAUUAAUAAUGAUUAAAAGAAAAAAUUACCUUAGGGAUAACAGCGUAAUAUUUUUUUUUAGUUCAAAUAAAAAAAAAAGUUUGCGACCUCGAUGUUGGAUUAAGAUAAAAUUUAAAUGCAAAUGUUUAAAAUUUUGAUCUGUUCGAUCAUUAAAAUCUUACAUGAUCUGAGUUCAAACCGGUGUAAGCCAGGUUGGUUUCUAUCUUUAAUAAAAAAAAAUAUUUUA
rnacentral:rRNA from 1 species